UUGACUGCCAACAGCAUGGUACGUUGUCACCCAUGACUUUUGUAUUUUCGACUUUCGCCGUCGUUCGACCGUCAUCAUUUUGUCACAAAUUGACAUACGGGCCUUAUUUUAUCUGUAUUGUAAAUGCAGGUAUUGCAUCAUCUUUUUGUAAAUUUUUGAGUUAUUGAGGUAAAUGUCAGAUUUCACGUAUGAAAUACCUCUCAUGUUUUUCUGUAUUUCAUAACUUAAAUUUCCAUGUAAAUUUCAUUAAAUUCUGUUCAGUAAUAAGAAAGUUGAUAUUUUAUAAACUUCAGUAAUUUAUGUUUUUAUCCCCAAAACCACUAUAAUGGGCCUCAAAUUGUCAAUUUAAAUUCGCGCCAAAGUAGUUAGAUUCCCCGGCUAUAUCGUGAAUCCCGUGAAAAUGACAAUAGUCGGAGUCCACGGCUUAGCCGUGAAUCCCAUGAAAUUUAGUAUUUGGCGGGACAUUAUCCUUUAAAUAGACUGGACUAGAUAUGCCUUGCGCACACCACCUUCCGACUUUAUAGACGAAUCUAUGUCUGAAUUAUUUUCUUGCUAGAAAUUUAUGCUCGAUCGAGCUUCUUCCGCCAGACGAUUUUUCCUGGUGAUGUCAUAACCCGGAAGUACAAUGCCCGAGGUUCACUUGUCUUCACUCGCCUGGAUGUGAUAUUCCCAGCGCAGAGCUUUCGUCCCAUGGUUGUGCCGUAAACCGCAAAGACGAUGAUUUUUGUUAUCCUCUGAAGUCAGCUCAGGGAUGCAAUCACCUACCACCAUAGGGAGCCAACACGGAAUCAACGUAUUCACGGUUUAAAGGGACUGUAUUUUGAAUUUAGAAGCUACGUUUUGUUUGUGCUACUUAAAGUUCACAAUUACAUUAAAGACCUGUGUCACGUCAGAUUAGAAUGGACUAUAAGAACUUUUGUAUCUAGAGAUACUGAACUUUCUUUUUUUUUUCUUAUAAUCAGUUUUUUUUUUGUUUUUUUUUUCUUCAUAUCAUCUAUUCAUUGUAAAUAAUCAUCUUUUGUAAAUAAAUUUGUAAAUAUUGUAAA